UGACCAGACUCCUACGGGAGGCAGCAGUGGGGGAUAUUGCACAAUGGGGGAAACCCUGAUGCAGCGACGCCGCGUGUGGGAAGACGGUCUUCUGGAUUGUAAACCACUGUCCCCAGGGACGAAAAUGACGGUACCUGGGGAGGAAGCUCCGGCUAACUACGUGCCAGCAGCCGCGGUAAUACGUAGGGAGCAAGCGUUGUCCGGAAUUACUGGGUGUAAAGGGCGUGUAGGCGGGACUGCAAGUCAGAUGUGAAAACCACGGGCUCAACCUGUGGCCUGCAUUUGAAACUGUAGUUCUUGAGUACUGGAGAGGCAGACGGAAUUCCUAGUGUAGCGGUGAAAUGCGUAGAUAUUAGGAGGAACACCAGUGGCGAAGGCGGUCUGCUGGACAGCAACUGACGCUGAGGCGCGAAAGCGUGGGGAGCAAACAGGAUUAGAUACCCCAGUAC
rnacentral:rRNA from 1 species